CUUUUAUGGAGAGUUUGAUCCUGGCUCAGGACGAACGCUGGCGGCGUGCCUAAUACAUGCAAGUCGAGCGGAGUCGGAUGGAAGCUUGCUUCCAUCCUGCUUAGCGGCGGACGGGUGAGUAACACGUAGGCAACCUGCCUGUAAGACCGGGAUAACAUUCGGAAACGAAUGCUAAUACCGGAUAUGCAAUU
rnacentral:rRNA from 1 species